ensembl:lncRNA
GCCCCCGGCCCGCGCCCCGCCCCCGGCCGCUCGGCGGGAAGGCUGCAGAUCCUGCUGGUGCGAGCCCGGCCAGACUGGGCAGCUGCUGCGCGGGCUCGACCGGACUGCUGAACAGCCGGGGGCCAGUCAGGGCGGGUCAGUGACCGCCGUUUAGGGUUCACCUCCUAGCAGAUUACUGGAAGGCAAAUGGAAAACGCACUCACGUCUACUCUCUGGUCUGUCACGUGGAGCUGAAGCUGCUUUUUCCCAGUAGGAACUGACUCUUCUCUUCAGGGGCGGAGACCCUCCUCACCUCUCCCCUCUGGAUCC